CAGCCCCUUGCUCUGAGAACUGCUUGAUAAGCCGGUCACACUCUGUGCAGAAGUCAGUCUCAGUCAAGACACAGCGAGAAUAUGGGGUCCCCUUCCCAGCUUUUGGGGCUCCUGCUGCUCUGCCUCCCAGGUGCCAGAUGUGACAUCCUGAUGACUCAGUCUCCAUCCACCCUGUCUGCAUCUCUGCAAGACAGCGUGACCAUCAAUUGCCGGGCCAGUCAGGGCAUUAGCAAUUAUUUAGCCUGGUAUCAGCAGAAACCAGGGCAAGCUCCUAAACUCCUGAUCUAUUAUGCAAGCAAUUUGGCAUCUGGGGUGCCCUCCAGGUUCAGCGGCAGUGGAUCUGGAACAGAUUACACUCUCACCAUCAGCAACCUGCAGCCUGAAGAUGUUGCAACUUAUUACUGUCAGCAGUAUGAUGAGUACCCUCCCACGGUGAUACAAGCCAUAGCAUAAACCUCCCAGGAAAGCAGAAGUGAAAGUGUAGGCUGGCCAGCUGUUCCUCCUGUCAUUUCUGUCUGUUCAGAACAUUUCUCAGAUGCAAGAAGCCUACACAGGAGGCAUUUAUGUUGUAUCACAGCUUGAAAAUGACACAGAAAAAGAGAUGACACCACAGAUACUACAAACAAGAAUUGUUGCAAACAGUGACAAGAUGCUUUAAUUACCCAUUAUAUUUGUUUCUUGGAUGUAUAUUUUAACAUUUAUUAAUUGCAGAUUAAUUGCAGAUUUCAAUAGAAGUGACUCUAAUAUUUCUAUGUAUGCAGACAGUGUACAAUGAUCAUAUCCAUCCAAAUGUCCACACAUUCACCCUUGACUCCCUUCCCCAUAACGUCUUCUCAAUCAGUCUUCCAUUUUCUAGUUGACAUUUUUUUUUUGAAAAAGUUUCUGUAUAUUAGAAAGAGAGAAUAUCUGAUAUUUUUUAUUAUUGCGUCUGUCCAUUUUCAGUUCCCAUUUCAAUUAAGGCUUUGAGUUACAUUUGUGACCUGUAAGAGGAUGGGGGUACUACACUGAAAGGAUUUGGUUUCCCUAUCAUUUGGGGAGGGUUGAGUUGAUGUUAUUUGUAAAGGAAAGGUUUGUGGUGCAUUAGAUAACAACGCUACAUAAUGAGACCACAUCUCAAAAAAAAAAAAAGAAAAGAAAAUUUGAUGAAAGCUUACAUUUACAAUGAAAUAAAGGACAGAUUGCCAUUAAUCUACCUCACACUACUCCUCUUCCUUCAAAGGGAUGUAUCUCACCUUUAUUGCCACACUAUGAAGUGGUUAAGAAGUCCUUUUCCAGGAGUGUUUUCAGUUUCCCUGUUGUGGCUGUUUUGAUAUCUUGAAUAAAUUUAAAAUUUUAGCUUCCUGGUCAUUUUGACUUUAUAAAAGAGACAUGAAUGAUAUUGUGCCAUUUGGUGAAUAUGGUGAAGCAGUAUACACUGUAAUGUUUGUGUGUGACAGAAAUCCUUGUAAACUUCUUGAUUGAUUAAGGACAUAAAAGCAGCCGUAAGUAAUACUAACAAACAAAGUCCAGAAAUUCUUCAGCAAGCGGCAAGAACAAUGGGAUAAGUGUGAUCAAAGGAAGGGGGAGUAUUUUGAGGGUA